ACGGGAAGAGCCCAAACCAACAAGCUUGCUUGUUGGGGUUGUAGGACACUCUAUACGGAGUUACAAAGGACGACAUUAGACGAAUCAUCUGGAAAGAUGAAUCAAAGAAGGUAAUAAUCCUGUAGUCGAAAAUGUUGUCUCUCUUGAGUGGAUCCUGAGUACGACGGAGCACGUGAAAUUCCGUCGGAAUCUGGGAGGACCAUCUCCUAAGGCUAAAUACUCUCUAGUGACCGAUAGUGAACCAGUACCGUGAGGGAAAGGUGAAAAGCACCCCGGAAGGGGAGUGAAAUAGAACCUGAAACCGUGUGCUUACAAGUAGUCAGAGCCCGUUAAUGGGUGAUGGCGUGCCUUUUGUAGAAUGAACCGGCGAGUUACGAUUUGAUGCAAGGUUAAGCAGUAAAUGUGGAGCCGUAGCGAAAGCGAGUCUGAAUAGGGCGUUUAGUAUUUGGUCGUAGACCCGAAACCAGGUGAUCUACCCUUGGUCAGGUUGAAGUUCAGGUAACACUGA
rnacentral:rRNA from 1 species